rnacentral:rRNA from 1 species
GUGCCACCGCCGCGGUACUACUGGCAGCCCGAGUGAUGGCCGAUCUUAUUGGGCCUAAAGCGUCCGUAGCUGGCCGACCAAGGCUCCCGGGAAAUCCACCCGCCCAACGGGUGGGCGUCCGGUAGAAACUGGCCGGCUUGGAACUGGAAGGCUCAGAGAGUACGUCCGGGGUAGGAGUGAAAUCCCGUAAUCCCGGACGGACUACCGAUGGCGAAAGCACUCUGAGAAGACGGCUUCGACAGUGAGGGACGAAAGCUCGGGUCUCAAACCGGAUUAGAUACCCGAGUAGUCC